UACGUAGGGGGCUAGCGUUGUCCGGAUUUAUUGGGCGUAAAGAGCGUGUAGGCGGCCAGGUAGGUCCGCUGUGAAAGUCCGAGGCUCAACCUCGGAAUGUCGGCGGAAACCCUUUGGCUAGAGUCCGGAAGAGGAGAGUGGAAUUCCCGGUGUAGCGGUGAAAUGCGCAGAUAUCGGGAAGAACACCGAUGGCGAAGGCAGGUCUCUGGGCAUUAACUGACGCUGAGGAGCGAAAGCAUGGGGAGCGAACAGG
rnacentral:rRNA from 1 species